rnacentral:rRNA from 1 species
UUCCAGACUCCUACGGGAGGCAGCAGUGAGGAAUAUUGGUCAAUGGACGAGAGUCUGAACCAGCCAAGUAGCGCGAAGGAUGACUGCCCUAUGGGUUGUAAACCUCUUUUGUCGGGGAGCAAAGAGAGUCACGUGUGGCUCAUUGAGAGUACCCGAAGAAAAAGCAUCGGCUAACUCCGUGCCAGCAGCCGCGGUAAUACGGAGGAUGCGAGCGUUAUCCGGAUUUAUUGGGUUUAAAGGGUGCGCAGGCGGAGGUGCAAGUCAGUGGUCAAAUUGCGGGGCUCAACCCCGUACUGCCGUUGAAACUGCAUCCCUUGAGUGCGCGAGAAGUAUGCGGAAUGCGUGGUGUAGCGGUGAAAUGCAUAGAUAUCACGCAGAACUCCGAUUGCGAAGGCAGCAUACCGGCGCGCAACUGACGCUCAUGCGCGAAAGCGUGGGUAUCGAACAGGAUUAGAUACCCGGGUA